GAUGAACGCUAGCUACAGGCUUAACACAUGCAAGUCGAGGGGCAGCAUGGUCUUAGCUUGCUAAGGCCGAUGGCGACCGGCGCACGGGAGAGUAACACGUAUCCAACCUGCCGUCUACUCUUGGACAGCCUUCUGAAAGGAAGAUUAAUACAAGAUGGCAUCAUGAGUCCGCAUGUUCACAUGAUUAAAGGUAUUCCGGUAGACGAUGGGGAUGCGUUCCAUUAGAUAGUAGGCGGGGUAACGGCCCACCUAGUCUUCGAUGGAUAGGGGUUCUGAGGGGAAGGUCCCCCACAUUGGAACUGAGACACGGUCCAAACUCCUACGGGAGGCAGCAGUGAGGAAUAUUGGUCAAUGGGCGAGAGCCUGAACCAGCCAAGUAGCGUGAAGGAUGACUGCCCUAUGGGUUGUAAACUUCUUUUAUAAAGGAAUAAAGUCGGGUAUGGAUACCCGUUUGCAUGUACUUGAUGAAUAAGGAUCGGCUAACUCCGUG
rnacentral:rRNA from 1 species